rnacentral:tRNA from 1 species
GGCGAGAUGGUGGAAUUGGUAGACACGCUACUUUGAGGGGGUAGUGAGCGUUAGCUUGUGUGAGUUCGAAUCUCAUUCUCGUCA